AGUAACACGUGGGUAACCUGCCCAGAAGCAGGGGAUAACACCUGGAAACAGAUGCUAAUACCGUAUAACAGAGAAAACCGCCUGGUUUUCUUUUAAAAGAUGGCUCUGCUAUCACUUCUGGAUGGACCCGCGGCGCAUUAGCUAGUUGGUGAGGUAACGGCUCACCAAGGCGAUGAUGCGUAGCCGACCUGAGAGGGUAAUCGGCCACAUCGGGACUGAUACACGGCCCAG
rnacentral:rRNA from 1 species